rnacentral:rRNA from 1 species
AUCACCAACGUCUAUGCCCCCUCGCAAAGGGAUCUAAAACUAGAUUUCCUAGAAGAGCUUAAACAAAUUGAACCACCACCACAAUCCCCAUGGCUCCUCAUCGGAGAUUUCAACCUAAUUCACUUCCCUAAUGAAAAGAACAAUCAGAACUUUCGCCGAUCUGAGGCUGAUGCCUUCAAUGACACGAUUGAUCAACUCGCGCUCCUUGAGCUCCCUCUUCUUGAUCGCCAAUUCACGUGGUCAAAUAAGAGGACAUCCCCCACACUUGUUCGACUAGAUAGAGUUCUUAUAAACAUAGCCUGGGAUGCACUUUUUCCAAACACUCACCUGACCUCUCUCACUUGA